ensembl:rRNA 5S_rRNA 5S ribosomal RNA
UGCUGAGGCCUCCACCCUUAAUGUGCCCAAUCUCCUCUGAUCUUGGAAGCUAAGCAGGGUUGGGGCCUGGUGAGUACCUGGAUGGAGACUGCCUGGGAAUACCGGGAACUUUAGGCU